rnacentral:rRNA from 1 species
AUUGAACGCUGGCGGCAGGCUUAACACAUGCAAGUCGAGCGGUAACAGAGAGAAGCUUGCUUUUCUGCUGACGAGCGGCGGACGGGUGAGUAAUGCCUAGGGAUCUGCCUAGUAGUGGGGGAUAACUUGCCGAAAGGUAAGCUAAUACCGCAUACGUCCUACGGGAGAAAGGAGGGGACCUUCGGGCCUUUCGCUAUGAGAUGAGCCUAGGUCGGAUUAGUUAGUUGGUGAGGUAAUGGCUCACCAAGACCGCGAUCCGUAACUGGUCUGAGAGGAUGAUCAGUCACACUGGAACUGAGACACGGUCCAGACUCCUACGGGAGGCAGCAGUGGGGAAUAUUGGACAAUGGGGGGAACCCUGAUCCAGCCAUGCCGCGUGUGUGAAGAAGGUCUUAGGAUUGUAAAGCACUUUAAGUUGGGAGGAAGAGCAGUUAACUAAUAUUUGACUGUUUUGACGUUACCGACAGAAUAAGCACCGGCUAACUUCGUGCCAGCCGCCGCCGUAACAC